rfam:Schistosoma rodhaini strain Burundi genome assembly, scaffold: SROB_scaffold0007650
AUACGGCUGACGAGUCCCAAAUAGGACGAAAACAGCGUCCUGGAU